UCGCUGCUGCGGGUUCUAUUUUGAAAGAUAUCGUGCGGUACGGACUGACGGGCGGAUGGUUUUUCUUGUUGGGGAAGUAUAGAAAUGCUUCCGUUAUAAAAAAAUAUCGCAGGGUUCGCGAAUUUCGCGAUAAGAACCAUCACCAAUCUACUCCCCCGCCCCCCGCUGAGCGAUGCCGUCUUGAUCGCCCCCCUCCCAACCCCGGGAAAAGGGACACUACCUUUCUAUCUCAGUUGAAGAAAAGAUGAUGAAACGUUAACAACGACAAUAACGGCAUUUGCUAACGAGUUGUCUUGUCUAACGAGUGGCCUCUGAGAUUUGCGCGCGAAGCUGGCGCGCGCGAACCUGAGAGGCCAUAAUUGGCCGCUUAAUAGCAUAAAAAGACAAAGAUAAUGCCAAACGACACAGCUAAAAAUUCAAACAAAGAACUGAUCUUAGCUAUACUGAUUGGGGAAAAGAAAUAAAAAAAAUUAGACAACCGCAACACACGCCACUAAAGCCACCACCGCCGGCAUAACGCGGAAGCAACAGUUGGCAACAUUCACUCGCGCCUCAUUGCUUCGUCCGCUUCGUCUCCGCAACGACAGCCGCCAUCUUCUCGCGCCUAACGUUUUGUAUGGUUUUGUUCUCUGCAAUCCGCGCACACAGCUCAUCGGUGGCUGCACGUCUGCUCGGCGUCGCAAUGCGGCCUGCGUCAUUUUCUGGUGCUCGCGCAAUCGGUGUGAAACAUGUCGCAUGUGAAAUGUUUGAUAGAAGUGCCUCACGUCCAAGUCAAGCCGCCGUACGGGUGUAUGGCUGUGCGCCCCGUUCUCGGAAGCGUCGACGGGUUUCCGGCAUGCGGAUUUCAGCGUUUGGACUCGACUUUUGGUGAGGAUGUCGAUCGACCUUGGGCCUGGUGACAGCACACCCGACAUCGCCAAAGUGCAGCCUAUCAGUUGAGUGCCCCCGAAUGGACCAUCAACAUCGGAAAAUGAAGCAGAGCCAGGGGGAAAAGGUUCCGGUAACACCAUGCAUUCAGUAUGGUGGCCCAGAUGUGUAUGCAAGCAAUCUCCUUCAUCUGGACCAAGAACUACUCUGCAGUGUCUCGCAGACUUCCAUGCGAAGCCCUCAACAUUCUCGUCUCAGUGGAAUGGCUGCUCAUCUAUCUGCGUGUCCAUCACCAAGACAGCCAGUUGUAAAGCUUCUGUACCCGUUUAAGAAAGCUUAAUGAUUUUUUUAUUUAGUUUUCAUGGUUGGCCGUAGAAUCUUAACAUUUUUGAUGUUUCUAACAUUUUUACCUGGCACAAAGUGGUGCAAUAACUUUAAACCAGUGUAAUGUAUUUAAGUGAUGCUCACUCUAAUGCCUAUCUGGUUUUGUUUGUGUUUAAGAAAUUUGAAUGUCUAAUAAGGUAACGGCAUUUGAAUUUGUCAUCAUGGCUCGUUUCAGUGAGCUGCUAGGAAAUAAGACGCAAAGAUUAUCACACGCCAGUUGUAGCAUUUUUGUUUUCAUGAGUAAAGUAUACACGUUUCAAAAGAUGGAAAGUGAGGAAAAAGCCUCAAGAACAUAAUCAACCUAGGAUUGUCAUGUCCUUACAACUCUGCAAUGACUAAUGCCUCAUACAUCUUGGGAGCACAUUGGUCGCAAUGCCUACAGGUAUACUUGAUAAGAGAAUAGCUUGCACUCAGAUUUGCCACGCAGUUGAUGGCUGAUGGCUUUUGUUUGUCGUCGUCAUGUUACUACUAUGUAUUGAAUAUUCAUUUAGAUGUGCUGCGGUUUUUUGCAGUCACCUAUAUAUAUGUUCUUCGUUUCAAUAAACAUUUAGUUGAGAGUUAGCGCUCAUCCUCUCUGCUUCUAGUCUGUGUCCGUGUCACUUCGCGCUACAAUCCAAGAUCAUGUUACUGUACCAACUCGCCCAACUUUCUAUCCUUGUGUUAAAGACAGACUCAGACUUGUUCUUACUUAUGUGACCGGUUAUUUUUGUGCUUUAUAAUAAGAUGCAGUGCUUUUCGAAUGAAAACAUGUAAUAGUUCGUAAUCAGGUUAAUUUAAAAAACUGUUCUGCUUAAAAUUUAAUUGAGCAAGCCUGUGCCAUUAUUCGGUGCUUAUGUCUUUGUAUUGGUAUGGUUUUACUCAUCUUCCUUUUUACUUUUAAAAUGUGCAAACAUUAUUAUGUAACCAUUUCUCUUGAAUGAAAUAAAUACUUCUGACAUUUCGUCACAAAUUUUACAA